rnacentral:rRNA from 1 species
GAGUUUGAUCAUGGCUCAGGAUGAACGCUGGCGGCGUGCCUAAUACAUGCAAGUCGAGCGAACGGACGAGAAGCUUGCUUCUCUGAUGUUAGCGGCGGACGGGUGAGUAACACGUGGAUAACCUACCUAUAAGACUGGGAUAACUUCGGGAAACCGGAGCUAAUACCGGAUAAUAUUUUGAACCGCAUGGUUCAAAAGUGAAAGACGGUCUUGCUGUCACUUAUAGAUGGAUCCGCGCUGCAUUAGCUAGUUGGUAAGGUAACGGCUUACCAAGGCAACGAUGCAUAGCCGACCUGAGAGGGUGAUCGGCCACACUGGAACUGAGACACGGUCCAGACUCCUACGGGAGGCAGCAGUAGGGAAUCUUCCGCAAUGGGCGAAAGCCUGACGGAGCAACGCCGCGUGAGUGAUGAAGGUCUUCGGAUCGUAAAACUCUGUUAUUAGGGAAGACAUAUGUGUAAGUAACUGUGCACAUCUUGACGGUACCUAAUCAGAAAGCCACGGCUAACUACG